CCUACGGGUGGCAGCAGUGAGGAAUAUUGGUCAAUGGGCGGAAGCCUGAACCAGCCAAGUAGCGUGCAGGAUGACGGCCCUACGGGUUGUAAACUGCUUUUAUACGGGAAUAACGCGCCUUACGUGUAGGGCUUUGCAUGUACCGUAUGAAUAAGGACCGGCUAAUUCCGUGCCAGCAGACGCGGUAAUACGGAAGGUCCGGGCGUUAUCCGGAUUUAUUGGGGUUAAAGGGAGCGUAGGCCGCAUGUCAAGCGUGCUGUGAAAUGUACGGGCUCAACCCGGGCCUUGCAGCGCGAACUGGCGUGCAUGAGUCCGCGGAAGGCAGGCGGAAUUCGUCGUGGAGCGGUGAAAUGCUUAGAUAUGACGAAGAACCCCGAUUGCGAAGGCAGCUUGCUGCAGCGGAACUGACGCUGAUGCUCGAAAGCGCGGGUAUCGAACAGGAUUAGAUACCCUAGUAGUC
rnacentral:rRNA from 1 species